rnacentral:rRNA from 1 species
UACGAACUGUGCGAACGUUAUUCGGAAUCACUGGGCUUAAAGGGUGCGUAGGCGGCGAUAUAGGUCAGGUGUGAAAUCCCACGGCUCAACCGUGGAACUGCGCUUGAAACCAUAUUGCUUGAGGAAGUCAGAGGUAAGCGGAACUGAUGGUGGAGCGGUGAAAUGCGUUGAUAUUAUCAGGAACACCGGUGGCGAAAGCGGCUUACUGGGACUUUUCUGACGCUGAGGCACGAAAGCUAGGGGAGCGAACGGG